rnacentral:lncRNA from 10 species
CAUAAUCACUUAACAUACCUUCUUCUGUGUGCCAACUUAGAUAAAUGGAGGCAACAGUAGUUAAUGAACAUCUGGAAGAGGCUGAGGAAAAAAAAAAAACAGUGGCAGUCUGGAAUUUUCCUGGAGCUCAUUGUGGGACAAAACCAAGCAGCAUGAAUAAAAUCUUCAUCAUUCACACACUUCUGUGAUUUUACAGCAUGGCAGGGACAGACACACAAGUGUGUGUGGCCUGAGUGCUUCUUGAACUCAAGGAUUCCUGUGCCAGGAUCCGUAGCUGAGCCCAACAUUUCGCUGUGACUUCAUGGCAGUCAAAGAGGGAUGAUGAUUUAUGUGUCUGUUGUUAUCUGACAUUUUAAGAAGUCACCAGUUCUUUAGGAGAUGAAUUCGUUCUCCAGUAUAAAAGUGUAAGAGAAGCUGAUCCCGGGAUACUGAAAAGCUAAGGCAGGACUCAACAUUUUUCUGUUUUCAAACGUCAUUGCCAAGAAGCCCUCAAUUUCAAAUGAGUCACUGACCCAGUAAAUUACCUAAUGCGUCUACAGCUCCACCCACCUUCGCAGUCUCAGAAUGCUCAAGUGGAAAACGUUGCUUGGGGCAGGUGACUCCUUAGGACUUGGAAAUGAGGGAAAUGUGGUUGCUUCCACCAUAAAAUCGGAAAUUCCAAGGGGGCACAAUAGAGAUGUGCCAAUCUGGGGAAAGACUCUUAGGCUGGUUAAAGGCCCUAAUAACCUAAUAGAAGAUGUUGGCUUAUCUAAAUUAUGUGUCACUGUAAUAUGGGGGUUGGUUGGCAAAAAAGGACCAAAAUAGUAGAGUCUGAAAGGCUGGGGCUGGUGGUGCCCUUGUGGACAGGGUGCAGGGGCUUCACUGGCAGGUGUACCCACCAACUAUAGAAAUGAAGAAAUUGGGCAGUUAGAGCCAUAUGUUACUAAACAUUCAAAUGAUAACUUCCCUUUCUCUGAAUCUAUGCUCAUCAAGAAAUAUUAUGUGAUUGACUUUCCAAAUCUUCAGGGAAAAUAAGGUCUCGUUCUGUCACCCAGGCUGGAGUGCAGUGGCAUGAUCUCAGCUCACUGCAACCUCUGCCUCCCGGGCUCAAGCAAUCCUCCCACCUUAGCUUCCUGAGUAGCUGGGACCACACGUGCACACCACCAUGCCCAGACUUUUCUUGAGCAUACACAAAAGGAGAGGCUGGACACAGCGGCUCACGCCUAUAAUCCCGGCACUUUGGGAGGCUGAGGCAGGUGGAUGCUUGAGCCCAGGAGUUAGAGGCUGCUGUGAUCAUGCCACUGCAUUCUAUCUAGCCUGGGCGACAGAGCAAGACCCUGUCCCUUUAAAAAGAAAAAGGAGAGAGAUGUGCUUAUAUGAAGAGAAAGGUCAUCUCCCACAAGAGUACACAGAGCAAAGAGAAAAGCUGAAGAUGGAAAUGACCGGCACAUUUUAGGACUCUCCUAAACUUCGUCAGUGAAGAAACUGCUAUACUAUUUCGAAUGGAACACCUGGAGAAAGAUCACCAGCUGCUUCCCCACCACCAGCUCCUCAGGACUCCAGGAGACAGAAACCUAAUAGCAAGAGAUCAAAUAAUAAAC